UACGUAGGGUGCGAGCGUUGCCCGGAAUUAUUGGGCGUAAAGAGCUCGUAGGCGGUUUGUCGCGUCUGCCGUGAAAGUCCGGGGCUCAACUCCGGAUCUGCGGUGGGUACGGGCAGACUAGAGUGAUGUAGGGGAGACUGGAAUUCCUGGUGUAGCGGUGAAAUGCGCAGAUAAUCAGGAGGAACACCGAUGGCGAAGGCAGGUCUCUGGGCAUUAACUGACGCUGAGGAGCGAAAGCAUGGGGAGCGAACAGG
rnacentral:rRNA from 1 species